rnacentral:rRNA from 1 species
GGGGACUGUGAACUGCUAGCAUUUACUUGAUGUUGAUAUUCCACGUGGAUAACUGUGGUAAUUCUGGAGCUAAUACAUGCACCAAAGCUCCGAUCUCAUGACGAGCGCAUCUAUGAGACCAAAAACCAAUCGAGAAUAUUCGCCUCAAAACGAACGCCUCGUAAAUUUGGUGACUCUAAAUAGCUUAGCUGAUCGCAUGGUCUCGCACCGGCAACGUAUCUUUCAGGUGUCUGCCUUAUCAACUUUCGAUGGUAGUUUAUAUGCCUACCAGGGUUGUAACGGGUAACGGAAAAUAAGGGUUCGACUCCGGAGAGGGAGCCUGAGAAACGGCUACCACAUCCAAGGAAGGCGGCAGGCGCGCAAAUUACCCACUCUCAGCACGAGGAGGUAGUGACGAAAAAUAACGAGACCGUUCUCUUCGAGGCCGGUUAUCGGAAUGAGUACAAUUUAAAGCCGUUAACGAGGAUCUAUGAGAGGGCAAGUCUGGUGCCCGCAGCCGCGGUAAUUCCCGCUCUCAAAGUGUAUAUCGUCAUUGCUGCGGUUAAAAAGCUCGUAGUUGGAUUUAAGCUCGAUGACUCGGUCCAUCCAUAGGAUGAGAACUGAGCUCAUCGGCUAUCAUCGGGCUGGUUUUUGUCUAGGUGGCUUUAAACGGUUGGCCUAGGCCGGGCUAGCAAGUUUACUUUUGAAAAAAAUUAGAGUGCUCAACCGCGGGCUUUAAUGCCCGAAAAAUCGUGCAUGGUAUAUGGCCUAGGAUUUCCGGUUCUAUUUUGUUGGUUUUUUUAACCCAAAAUAAUGGUUAAGAAGGGACAGACCGGGGGCCUUCCUAUCCCCUCCUGAGAAGUUUCAAUUUUUGGAACCGGAGCCAGGACGCCCCGACCGCCAACGCAUAUGACUAGAAAUGGUCUUUCUUAAUCAACAACAAAAAUCGAAGGUCGAAGCGAUCAGAUACCCGCCCCUAGUCUGACCGUAAACAAUACCACCAACGUCCCGCCUGUCGUAAAUAAGACAGACGGCCCUGCCCGAAACUAAAGAAUUCCGGUCCGGCGAGCUACGUAGCCAGCUGAACUAAUGAAUGACCGAGAACGACAGAGUGAUCUGCGCUGAUCGAUCUACUAGCAACUCACUAGACUGAUACUGAUGACAGUCGAACGCGCUCAUCUGGCUUUGACUAGCGCAACUGUGUCAUUAAUCGUGAUGCGAUGAUCAG